GGGAUUACAGGUGUGAGUGAUCAUGCUGGGCCCCAUUUAAAAAAAUGUUUUGAAAAUUAUAUUUUGAUGCCCUUUCCUAGUAGAACACAUCUCCUGGAGGCCCAGGAAGGGAAGGUGGAGACUGGGAUCAUUGGGAUCUUUGAGAGAUUUUUGGUCUCAUGGCACAUGGUGGUGCCUCAGAUGCAAGCACAGCAACCUCUGAGCCCUGCUCCAAGUUUGUAUAGGUCAGUCCCCACUUCCAGGUGCCAAAUUCUGUCACAGUGAUCUUUUGCUGUGCAAUAAGCCAUCUUGAAAACACUGGCAUAAAAUAAUGAUUAUUUAUUACCAAUUUUUAAAAAAGAGAGAAUCCUGGCUUCUGUGGGUCAGGACUUUGGGCAAGGCACAACAAGAAAGGCUUUUCUACUUCAUGAUGUCUAGGGUCUCAGCCAGAAGCCCCAGAGCUGAGGGUGACUCUAGUAUAUGAGGCGGUGGCUGGAGGAUCCCCUUCUAAGGUGUUCUUUUUAGUCCUGUGUCUGACACAUUGGCAGGGAUGGCUGGAAGGCUGGGCUCAGCUGGGACGGUUGCUCAGAGCACCUCUCUGCGGCCACUUCAGCAUGGCAGCCUCCAUGGGUAGUGAGACUUCUGAAAUGACAGGUCAGUGCCUUGUGAGUAAGGUAGGAGCUGCAUGGCUUUUUGUGACCCAGCCUGAAAAGUCACAUAGUGUCAUGUCUGCUGUGUCUAAGCAGUCAGAAGCCUGCCCACUCUCAAAGGGAGGGGACCCAGGCUCCACUUCUCAGUGGGAGGAAUGUCAAAGAACCUGUGGUCAUGUUAAAGUUGCUGCUGCUGCUUCUACAAUUUCCAUCCUCUUUGGUCCUUUCUGAUGGCUCCUAAUAACCCACAUCUCAUCAUAAACCACAAGACUUUGCCAGAAGCCAAGGAAAGAGCAGCCCUCCAAAUUGCACCUUUGUUCCCAGUUCCCACCAGAGUCCCUGGAGAUUUUAUCCAUUCGUGAUAUCUUCUUUCUCUUGGUUCUUCCAGUCUUAGGGGUGGAGCUUCCAGUAAUGUAUUUGUGUUUCCAGAGAGCUCAAAACACAGCAGAAAAUAUGCCUGUUGGCAUAGGGAAUGUUCAUGCUACAUUUGGUAAGUGAAGAAAGCAAAGGAAAAAUCAAGUGGAAGAAUAUAGAUCAAGGUGCUAAGUGGUUAUCUCUGAAUGGAAGAUUUAGAGAGCUAUUUUCUCGAGACAUACUCGGCUUUUAUGAAGAUUUUGAAAAUCUAGGGCAGUGAUUUUCCUUAGAGGGGAGCAAGAAGGUCACCAGGAAAGUCUGCUGUCCUCCCGUGGAUCCUCAUUUUUCUAGAGAUCCUGGCGUGUUCCAAAAAGAGAAUAUUUGCUAAUUUGACAAAAUGCUGGAAGAUAUAGAAAUUUUUUUUUUUUUUUUUUUUUUAGACAGUGUCUCACUCUGUCGCCCAGGCUGGAGUGCAGUGAUGCGAUCUUGGCUCACUGUACCCUCUGCCUCCCGAGUUCAAGAGAUUCUCGUGCCUCAGCCUCCUAGUAGCUGGGACUACAGGUGCCCACCAUCACGCCUGGCUAAUUUUUGUAUUUUUUGGUAGAGAUGGGGUUUCAGCAUGUUGGCCAGGCUGGUGUCAGAUUCCUGGCCCCAAGUGAUCUACCCACCUCAGCCUUCCAAAGUUCUGGGAUUAUAGUCAUGAGCCACUGUGCUUGGCCUGGAAGAGAUAGAAAUUCUUUUAGCAAUGUAAUACCAAGAGCUGGGUUAAGAGGAGCCCCAUCUAGCAGUAAUGCGGUUGGAAGGUGGUGUUGGUGAACUCCCUGUGAGAGGGGAAGCCAGCUGGACUUCCUGGGUCGAUUGGAGACUUGGAGAACUUUUCUGUCUUACAAGAGUUUGUAAAAUGCACCAAUCAGUGCUCUGUAAAAACACACCAAUCUGCGCUCUGUAGCUAGCUAGAGGUUUGUAAAAUGGACCAAUCAGCACCCUGUAAAAUGGACCAAUCAACACCCUGUAAAAUGGACCAAUCAGCACUCUGUAAAAUGGACCAAUCAGUGGGACAUGGGUGGGGACAAAUAAGGGAAUAAGAGCUGGCCUCCCCCAGCCAGGAACGGCAACCCGCUUGGGUCGUCUUGCUUUGUUCUUUCCCUCUUAACAAUAAAUCCUGCUGCUGUUCACUCUGGGUCCGUGCCACCUUUAAGAGCUAUAAUACUCACCGCGAAGGUCCGCGAUUUCAUUCUUGACGUCAGUGAGACCACGAACCCACCAGAAGGAACCAACUCGGACACACCUACAGAUGGGAAGCCCCUCCCUUUGGUCCACACAGACCCAGAAGGACUGAGAAAUGGAGAACCCUUGGGGUAGGGAAGGAGGUCAAGGGUCCUUGAAGAGGAGAAGAGAGAGGGGGUCUGAAAGGGAGAAGUCAUGGUGGCUUGUGACACAGAACUGAGAGCUUUCAGGGGAAGGACCUUGACAGUUUCAGAAGAGUUGAAUGACGGAACUUUCUAGACCCCCACACCCUCCAAACCCCUGGGCACUAGAUUGGAGACUAUGACUAAAAUCCAAAAGAAAGGACUCUUUUUGUUUAUUUUUUUUACAUUCCAGGUAGGGCUUGCCUAGCUAAAAAUGAGAGCAUUUAUUACUGACCCACCAUCUCUUUCUUGGGAAUAGGGUGGUAGGUUAUAGAAAACAAGAUUUAUUUUUCUUCCAG
rnacentral:lncRNA from 1 species